rnacentral:rRNA from 1 species
GACGAACGCUGGCGGCGUGCUUAACACAUGCAAGUCGAACGAUGAACCCGGAGCUUGCUCCGGUGGAUUAGUGGCGAACGGGUGAGUAACACGUGAGUAACCUGCCUUUGACUCUGGGAUAACUGCGGGAAACUGUAGCUAAUACCGGAUACGACCCUCGGCGGCAUCGCCAGGGGGUGGAAAGAAUUUCGGUCAAGGAUGGACUCGCGGCCUAUCAGCUAGUUGGUGAGGUAACGGCUCACCAAGGCGACGACGGGUAGCCGGCCUGAGAGGGUGACCGGCCACACUGGGACUGAGAUACGGCCCAGACUCCUACGGGAGGCAGCAGUGGGGAAUAUUGCACAAUGGGCGCAAGCCUGAUGCAGCGACGCCGCGUGAGGGAUGACGGCCUUCGGGUUGUAAACCUCUUUCAGCAUCGACGAAGCGAAAGUGACGGUAGGUGCAGAAGAAGGACCGGCCAACUACGUGCCAGCCGCCGCGGUAA